UAAACGGUCCUUUUCAGGACCACUAAUUUACAUAUCGAUAUUGAG
rfam:Euroglyphus maynei isolate Arlian Lab scaffold12311, whole genome shotgun sequence.